rnacentral:rRNA from 1 species
AUUGAACGCUGGCGGCAGGCCUAACACAUGCAAGUCGAGCGGUAACAGGACUAGCUUGCUAGUUGCUGACAAGCGGCGGACGGGUGCGUAACACGUAGGAAUCUACCCAGUAGCGGGGGAUAGCCCGGAGAAAUCCGGAUUAAUACCGCAUACGCCCUACGGGGGAAAGCAGGGGAUCUUCGGACCUUGCACUAUUGGAUGAGCCUGCGUCGGAUUAGCUUGUUGGUGAGGUAAAGGCUCACCAAGGCGACGAUCCGUAGCUGGUCUGAGAGGAUGAUCAGCCACACUGGGACUGAGACACGGCCCAGACUCCUACGGGAGGCAGCAGUGGGGAAUAUUGCACAAUGGGCGAAAGCCUGAUGCAGCCAUGCCGCGUGUGUGAAGAAGGCUCUAGGGUUGUAAAGCACUUUCAGCGAGGAGGAAAGGUUGAUGAUUAAUACUCAUUAGCUGUGACGUUACUCGCAGAAG